GACGAACGCUGGCGGCGUGCUUAACACAUGCCAGUCGAACGGAAAGGCCCUGCUUUUGUGGGGUUCUCGUGUGGCGAACGGGUGAGUAACACGUGAGUAACCUGUCCUUGACUUUGGGAUAACUUCAGGAAACUGGGGCUAAUACCGGAUAGGAGCUCCUGCUGCAUGGUGGGGGUUGGAAAGUUUCGGCGGUUGGGGAUGGACUCGCGGCUUAUCAGCUUGUUGGUGGGGUAGUGGCUUACCAAGGCUUUGACGGGUAGCCGGCCUGAGAGGGUGACCGGCCACAUUGGGACUGAGAUACGGCCCAGACUCCUACGGGAGGCAGCAGUGGGGAAUAUUGCACAAUGGGCGGAAGCCUGAUGCAGCAACGCCGCGUGCGGGAUGACGGCCUUCGGGUUGUAAACCGCUUUCGCCUGUGACGAAGCGUGAGUGACGGUAAUGGGUAAAGAAGCACCGGCUAACUACGUG
rnacentral:rRNA from 1 species